CCUACGGGAGGCAGCAGUAGGGAAUCUUCCACAAUGGGCGAAAGCCUGAUGGAGCAACGCCGCGUGGGUGAAGAAGGUCUUCGGAUCGUAAAACUCUUUUGUUAGAGAAGAAAGUGCGUGAGAGUAACUGUUCACGUUUCGACGGUAUCUAACCAGAAAGCCCCGGCUAACUACGUGCCAGCCGCCGCGGUAAUACGUCGGUGGCAAGCGUUAUCCGGAUUUGUUGGGCGUAAAGGUAACGCGGGCGGUCUUUUAGGUCUGAUGUGAAAGCCUUCGGCUUAACCGGAGUAGUGCAUGGGAAACUGGGAGACUUGAGUGCAGAAGAGGAGAGUGGAACUCCAUGUGUAGCGGUGAAAUGCGUAGAUAUAUGGAAGAACACCAGUGGCGAAAGCGGCUCUCUGGUCUGUAACUGACGCUGAGGUUCGAAAGCGUGGGUAGCAAACAGGAUUAGAUACCCUGGUAGUC
rnacentral:rRNA from 1 species